UUGAACGCUGGCGGAAUGCUUUACACAUGCAAGUCGAGCGGCAGCGCGGGGGCAACCCUGGCGGCGAGCGGCGAACGGGUGAGUAACAUAUCGGAACGUACCCUAUCGUGGGGGAUAACACAUCGAAAGAUGUGCUAAUACCGCAUACGACCUGAGGGUGAAAGCAGGGGAUCGCAAGACCUUGCGCGACAGGAGCGGCCGAUAUCGGAUUAGCUAGUUGGUGAGGUAAAGGCUCACCAAGGCGACGAUCCGUAGCUGGUCUGAGAGGACGACCAGCCACACUGGAACUGAGACACGGUCCAGACUCCUACGGGAGGCAGCAGUGGGGAAUUUUGGACAAUGGGCGCAAGCCUGAUCCAGCCAUGCCGCGUGAGUGAAGAAGGCCUUCGGGUUGUAAAGCUCUUUCGGCCGGGAAGAAAUCGUGGUCUCUAACAUAGGCCAUGGAUGACGGUACCGGACUAAGAAGCACCGGCUAACUACGU
rnacentral:rRNA from 1 species